rnacentral:lncRNA from 1 species
UAUUUUUAUACAGUCAAAAAUAUUUUUAUGUAUACACAGUAGAUGUUGAACCCCCAUCGACUAGUCCAUAUAUUUACUUCAAUGAAAAUCCUGGCUCCGUCACUGGUUGUGGUAUCUAACUCCGCCCAUGUGUGAGUAUUUAGCUAGGUCUGUACGAGAUUGUUCACAUCAUCGGCUCAAACUUAAUUAAACAGGAGGGUUGUUGGAGGUCGAUCAAAAAUAAUCAGCCUCUCUACCGCAUAAAAGUAAAAAUAAAACUACAUAUAUUUAAUCCUUUAAAUUUUAUUUGUAAAAUUAUAUUAAAUUUGUUGUUAUUGGUAGAUUUCACAAAGGAAGGAAGAAAAAAUUAUAAAAUUUUAUCAAUAUCUUAAGUAUAAAGUAAAUUUGAAAAAGAGGCAACCAAGACAUUCAUUAAGCAGAAUUUACCCGCACUCAAUAUAUAUUUACGUUUAGUCAAUAAAUGCACGUAAUGCGUUUUCGUAUAAACUCUCACUACUUAACUAUGACAUGUUAAAAUUCAUUUUUACCUCAUUAAAUCACUUAAUUAAACAUAGGUGCUGUUAAGAAGAAAAAAAUUCAACUUUCCAAAAAUGGUGAUCUUUUAAAGAGGAAGAGUAUGAUGAGUUGAAAACUCUCAACCAUAAAAAAAACAAAUAGAAAUUGAAUGAAAAUCAUCAUUUUACUUGAAAUACUUUUCAAAUAAGUCUUUUCUUUUUCCUUAACAUUUCAUUCUAAUUUGAAAUGCUAAUGACCAAACCAAUUCCAAUACUUCAAAUACUACAAAAACAAACCAAUAUUUGCAAAUACUAAUAUUUUAAAAGUCAUAUAAGUGAUUCUUUUUAAAUAAACUAAAACGAAAAGUAAAUCACAUAUGCCGAACUAGAACAUUAUACAUAGCCAAGAUCUGAAGCCUUCAAAUAAUUUCUUACUUGGAAUUGAUAAUUGCAUUACUACCUCAUUUCUGAAGUAGAGAAACAAACUGCGUACAUUUUACCCUAUCCAGAGUCCAGAGACCUCACUUUGCGAGAUCCAGUAAGCUUGUGAUUGUUGUUGGAAUUGAUAAUUGCAUUGUGGCCACUGUCAUGGAAACAAAAUUCAUACUCCACAUAUAUGCUUAUUUCCAUUUUUGUUUGUAUAAUUCUUUCAUCAAAUCUUAUUCAGUUUCAUCCAAGCUCGACUUCACAUAAUUUUUGUGGAAGAAGAAGAAGAAGCGAUUCGCCAGACACUAUAUUUCCAAAAGGUAGAUAAUAGAAGGCAUUUUGGAGGUACUUCAAUGGAAAUGCUAUUAUUUGCUUUGUUAUUGAAACAGAGGGAAUUUCAAGUUAAUUUGUUUAUAUACAACUUUUUUCAUUUGUGUGGCACAAAGAAGAAAAUAAGGGGAAUAUAUAUAUAUAUAUAUAUAUAGAAUAAUAGUGGAUAUUGUACAUUAAUUGUUGGUAAGUUGUUGCCUGUUGGGACCAUUGACUUUAUUCUUCAUUUAUAUAUCAUCCCUAUCUACUUCACUACCAUGUAAUGUUAGGCAGUAGUUUUUUCUUUUUUC